CCGAGGAGUCCUGGCCGUUCGCGAGUCGUAGGGGCCCCCCUCACUAACCCCGGAGGCGUAGCGAAAGCGAGAGAGCGUGUUGGAGGGCGCCGGUUUGGAGAGGUGUCUCGGCUUYCGRGCUGUGCCCGAUCCUGCUGGUGCGACGAGUCUUGUCACUUUCCGUCGUCCGCCCCGCGUUCGUUGUCAUCGCCGUAGUCGUCUGAUUUUCCCUCACGGGAGAUGAAGUUUGUGGCUGCGGCGGACGGGCGUGCGGGUUGUGYACGGCGGCGUCUUUCCUCCUUCCGCCCACCGGUGAGAUCCCGCGGCUUGAACUAGCAGCACUUUUGUUCGUCGAGUUUAGGCACUGCACGCGGGCGCAUCACCCCCGGGUCGGUUUCCGAGUACGACUCGGCCGACUCAGGCGUAGCGAGCGACCAGGGACCCGAAAGAUGGCGAUCCACGCCCGGUCGGGAUGAAGCCAGAGGAAACUCUGGUGGAAGUCCGAAGCGCCUCUGACGUGCAAAUCGAUCGUCGGAACCGGGUGUAGGGGCGAAAGACCAAUCGAGCCGUCUA
rnacentral:rRNA from 1 species